UACGAAGGGUGCAAGCGUUACUCGGAAUUACUGGGCGUAAAGCGUGCGUAGGUGGUUCGUUAAGGCUGAUGUGAAAGCCCUGGGCUCAACCUGGGAAUGGCAUUAGAAACUGGCGGGCUAGAGGGUGGUAGAGGGUAGUGGAAUUCCCGGUGUAGCAGUGAAAUGCGUAGAGAUCGGGAGGAACAUCCGUGGCGAAGGCGACUGCCUGGACCAGCACUGACACUGAGGCACGAAAGCGUGGGGAGCAAACAGG
rnacentral:rRNA from 1 species